UUUGUUUUACACGAAAACCGUCUAAAAUUUAACUAAAAUGCUAGAAUUAUGAGGAUUUCAGUAAUUUAGCAUGACUUAAUGGUGCUAGUACCGGAUAUAUGUGCAUUGUAUUGUCAAAAACAGCCCAUAUUUAUGUAGCAGAAGCAUUCUACUGUCCAAUAAAGAACUAAAGAUUUACAUUUUAACAAUUUUGUAAAACUGCUAUAUUUUGGGGCCAAAAAGGGGUCUUACU
rnacentral:lncRNA from 1 species